AACGUAGGUACCGAGCGUUAUCCGGAUUUACUGGGCGUAAAGCGUGUUCAGGCGGCCUGGCAAGUCGGGCAUGAAAUCUCUCGGCUCAACCGAGAGAGGCUGUCCGAUACUGCUGGGCUUGAGGACGGUAGAGGGUGGUGGAAUUCCGCGUGUAGUGGUGAAAUGCGUAGAUAUGCGGAGGAACACCAGUGGCGAAGGCGGCCACCUGGACCGUCCCUGACACUGAUGCGCGACAGCAUGGGGAGCAAACAGG
rnacentral:rRNA from 1 species